rnacentral:tRNA from 1 species
UGAGAGUUAGUUUAGUAAGAACACCUAAUUUCGGCUUAGGCAGCUUUGGUUUAACCCCAAAACUCUUGA